GUGGGGAAUAUUGGACAAUGGGCGAAAGCCUGAUCCAGCCAUGCCGCGUGUGUGAAGAAGGUCUUCGGAUUGUAAAGCACUUUAAGUUGGGAGGAAGGGCAGUAAGUUAAUACCUUGCUGUUUUGACGUUACCGACAGAAUAAGCACCGGCUAACUUCGUGCCAGCAGCCGCGGUAAUACGAAGGGUGCAAGCGUUAAUCGGAAUUACUGGGCGUAAAGCGCGCGUAGGUGGAUUUGUAAGUUGGAGGUGAAAUCCCCGGGCUCAACCUGGGAACUGCCUCCAAAACUGCAUGACUAGAGUACGGUAGAGGGUAGUGGAAUUUCCUGUGUAGCGGUGAAAUGCGUAGAUAUAGGAAGGAACACCAGUGGCGAAGGCGACUACCUGGACUGAUACUGACACUGAGGUGCGAAAGCGUGGGGAGCAAACAGGAUUAGAAACCCUGGUAGUCC
rnacentral:rRNA from 1 species